rnacentral:rRNA from 1 species
AUUGAACGCUGGCGGCAGGCUUAACACAUGCAAGUCGAGCGGGGGAAGGUAGCUUGCUACCGGACCUAGCGGCGGACGGGUGAGUAAUGCUUAGGAAUCUGCCUAUUAGUGGGGGACAACAUCUCGAAAGGGAUGCUAAUACCGCAUACGUCCUACGGGAGAAAGCAGGGGAUCUUCGGACCUUGCGCUAAUAGAUGAGCCUAAGUCGGAUUAGCUAGUUGGUGGGGUAAAGGCCUACCAAGGCGACGAUCUGUAGCGGGUCUGAGAGGAUGAUCCGCCACACUGGGACGGAGACACGGCCCAGACUCCUACGGGAGGCAGCAGUGGGGAAUAUUGGACAAUGGGGGGAACCCUGAUCCAGCCAUGCCGCGUGUGUGAAGAAGGCCUUAUGGUUGCAAAGCACUUUAAGCGAGGAGGAGGCUACUUUAGUUAAUACCUAGAGAUAGUGGACGUUACUCGCAGAAUAAGCACCGGCUAACUCUGUGCCAGCCGCCGCCGUAA